AAAGCAAUGUGUUCUGUGCUGUCCUAGUACUGGAUGUAAUUGAUGACCUGUUUUAUUGCAGAUACCCCAGUGCCCCUGGGCUCCAUGGUGAUUAAUAGUAUCUCAAAGCUUUGUCGGCUUGGAGGUUCCUCCAUGUACACCGUGCCUAAUGCACCAUCUCUUGCUGACCUGGAAGAUGACACAGAUGAGGAGGGUAAUGAAGACAAACCAGAGAAACCACACUUUGAUUCUCGUAGUUUUAUUUUUGAAUUAGACCCAUGCAAUGGGAAUGGGAAAGUUUGUCUUGUUUAUAAGCACACUAAACCAGUUGUGUCCCCAGACACAGAGAUAUGGUUCCUAGACAGAGCUCUGUAUUGGCAUUUCCUCACCAAAACCUUCACAGCCUACUAUCGCCUGCUCAUCACUCACCUGGGUCUCCCACAGUGGCAGUAUGCCUUCACCAGCUACGGAGUCAGCCCUCAAGCCAAGCAAUGGUUUAACAUGUAUAAACCCAUAACAAUAAACACAACUCUUCUCUCUGAAGAAGCUGAUUCCUUUGUAAACAAGCUGGACCCCAAUAAGGUAUUUAAAAGCAAGAACAAAACACCAGUGAUGAAAAAGAAACAACCCUCCCAGCCAGCAGGUGUCCAAAAGAGCAACACUAUCAUGUCCUCCACCAAGACUUCCUCACUAGCUGGGAAUUCUUCAAGGAAGCGAGACCCACAGAUCUGACCCUGAAAAAAGACAGGUUGAUUGUGAAUAUCAAUUAAGAGUUUGUAGAUUAAACCGCCAGCAAGACUUCCCAGUGUCGGAGCUACGAGUGGCACCCACCACCAAUAAUUUCCAGCCCUAAAAUGAAACACAGAAGAGGCAUCCAGUGAGCCACACAGAAACUGCUGCCCCGCUGCUUUGAGCUCUCAAGAAGCUUUGGACGCUACCAGUCAGCAUCUGCCUGGAUGGUGGGCUGCUUGUAGCUUAGGUGGUGACAGUGUGCACAUGUAGAACUGAGUUCCUUGCCCAGACCUGCUCUAGGACCUACUACCACCCAACUUUUCCCAACACACCACAGCCGUCCCCACUGACCUCUGAGAAAAAGCUCCCGGAUAAGGACAUAUAGGGAGAAGGGUAAGUGGAGAAGAUCGAUGCUGUGCCAGUUGGUCCUGUCACUGUAAAAUUCCCCUUGGUAUAGUCAUACAGCGCUUCUAGGAGAGAUGAGAAUUACAGGAGUAAGGACAGUGGCCAGUACAGAGUUCAUCACACAUGGCAUAUUCACAAGUUCACCCACUGCAGUCAGCAAAGACACAAAGAGAGGCAAUGAGAGAUAGAUAGGAUGGAAUCAACACAUCCCUUGAAGGACACAAUCUCUGCGAUACUGUCAUCACAGACUUUAGCUUGCAGCUGCUUCUUUAUGCAGUCCAACUCCCUGUCCCUGCUCAGAGACAUGGGACUGGAUGCUCUGGGUGCACUGAGUGGCCUCCAUUCCCCCACUUCUCAGAAAGUGAGGCAUGCUGGAGCCUACCAGUGUUGGGUCCUCUGCUCAUAAACAUGAAUUGCUGUCCUAUUUUACACAGACCAGAGCUCUAGCUGUAGCUGAUUCUUGGUAACACAACUAACAGAAGCCUUUGCAGGCCUUUUGCUGAC